ensembl:lncRNA
GUGACCGUUAUGUUGAAUUAUAACGUGUUGGAUUAUAGAAAUAAAUAAAGUGGUACUGAUGUGUGUGUGUGUGUGUGUGUGUGUGUGUGUGUGUGUGUGUUUUAGGAUGAGCUGGAGUGGGGCAAAGAGAACUGCAUUCAGAUCAAAUGGAUACAAGAGGUGGCCGAGUUGUUUGAGGAUCUGAAGAAUUGAGUGUCACAAUUCAACAUGCACAUCAGCGAAACUUUUCCCUCUGACUACACCAGCACGCACGCACAGAAAUUCAUAGUGCAGGUGGCGAUUGCAGGCACAUUUUAUCCGAACUGCUUCCUCCAGGGAACUGGGGACGAGGAGCUCGCCUCCAAGGAGCUCUAUGGAAAC